rnacentral:tRNA from 1 species
UGGGGUGUAGCUCAGUGGUAGAGUGCUAUGCUUGAAUGCGUGGGGUCCUGGGUUCAAACCCCAGUACCUCCA